rnacentral:rRNA from 1 species
UAACAUGAGAGUUCGAUCCUGGCUCAGGAUGAACGCUGGCGGCGUGCUUAACACAUGCAAGUCGAGCGAAGCGGUUUCAAUGAAGUUUUCGGAUGGAUUUGAAAUCGACUUAGCGGCGG